CGACCUCAGAUUAGGUGGGAUUCCCCGCUGAAUUUAAGCAUAUUAGUAAGCGGUGGAAAAGAAACCAACAGGGAUUCCCUUAGUAGCUGCGAGUGAAGCAGGGAUUAGCCCAGCACUGAAUCCCAAAAGCUAUUGCUUUUAGGGAAAUGUA
rnacentral:ncRNA from 1 species